rnacentral:tmRNA from 1 species
GGGGGCGCAUGGAUUCGAUCCCAUGGGGCAGGACGGAGCAGCGUGCCGGGGAUGAAUGGUUGGCCCCGUUAGCAAUCCAUUCACUGUCUGUAAAUGGCAAAAAGAACAUAAUUAGGGGUCUCAAAUUCGGCUCUUCCGAGUCGUUCGCGAUGGCUGCCUAAUUGCAAUUGCCGCGCACAAUGCCGUGGCACGUCGCAGGGGUUGACUGCUCGCUAGGUCUCUGCGGCGAAAAAUAGCGGGCGGGGUUCCGAUUCGUGCGAGGUCGGAAUCGCAUAAAUCCGCACCAGCUUCCAUUGUCCAUGUUGCGGCGGGACAUGGAAGUUAAACAAAAUGACGCAACUACGCACGUAGACGCACCGCCCGAGACCAUGGGAGACGUGGGUUCGACUCCCACCGCCUCCACCA